GAUUAAGAACGUAGCGAAAUGCGAUAAGUAGUGUGAAUUGCAGAAUUCAGUGAAUCAUCGAAUCUUUGAACGCACAUUGCGCCCCUUGGUACUCCAUGGGGCAUGCCUGUUCGAGCGUCAUUUACACCCUCAAGCUCAGCUUGGUGUUGGGCGUCUGUCCCGCUUCGUGCGCGGACUCGCCUCAAAUGCAUUGGCAGCGGUCUUGCCAGCUUCUCGCGCAGCACAUUGCGCUUCUAGAGGCUUUGGCGGAUCGGCGUCCAUCAAGUACACCCACAGUUUGACCUCGGAUCAGGUAGGGAUACCCGCUGAACUUAAGCAUAUCAAUAAGCGGAGGA
rnacentral:misc_RNA from 1 species